rnacentral:tRNA from 1 species
GGAGAUUUGGUGUAGGUGGUUAUUUGCACGAUAGUCUGAAAAACUAUAGGCUUAAGUUCAAUUCUUAGAGUCUCCAU